UCCCAGGUGGCUUAGAUAGUAAAGAAUUUGCCUGCAAUGCAGGAGACCCAGGUUCGAUCCCUGGAUGGGGAA
rnacentral:tRNA from 1 species